UUCCCAUUCCCCCUGUGGUUGUUAUCACCUGUGUAGCAGACAGGGCUCGGAGAUGAAUUUAGCAGCAAACUCAUGGUGAGAGGCUAGAGGGCUGCAAUGGGAAUGCUGUGAGCAAGUGACUUUGUGCUCUUAUUCCCAGAAAUUCCUGCUAUGGAUUGACUCUCCAAGUAAGGUGGACAACUUCUUUGGGCUGUCUACAUUACGAAUGCCACUUCUAAGUGCUUCAGGACCUCAGACAAGAAGCCAGAGUCCUACAAUAUGACUGUUACUUUAGAACUUAGAUAUGUAAGCACCCCUUUCUUCAUCACUCUCCUGUGAUCCUGCAGCUGAAGAGAAUCAAUAGGACAACAGCCUGACAUGAACCUAUGGAUUGAAUCUGAAGCCGGGCAGAUCAAAAGGGGAAAAAGCAUAAGAUAUUAGCAUUGGAACAGCUGACCAAGGGAUCACCUAUCUUCUCUUCCAGAUGAGAUUUUAAAGUGAGAAUUGUGUGUCUUCCACUUUCUUCUUCUAAAUUUAGUAAUGAUCAUGACACAGGAGUCCCUGGGUGACAUCAUCACUGCGGACAGAUUAGACUUUCCUAACGAUCCCCCUGCCUUUAAAACAUUGGAUGCUUAAAAAGUGCACUUACCUGAGCCAGGGCUCACCCCAGGGACAGGGGAAUUACAUGGCUUUAUUCCCUUCUCCCCAGCUGUGGGAUUGCUCUGUUUGGAUAUCUUUCCCACCGCCAGUUGUGUCAGUGGUAUGUGUUAUGCGGAUGUGUGUCUACUGGGAGCUACGUUCAGACAGCACAUUUCACACUGAUUUAUGAACAGACUCAUGAGUGCAACAGCUCCUGGCCUCUGCUGACUUGGGCUGGAAUCAGCUUGCAUGUUGUUGCUAUUCUUGUUCUUGGACCUGCAGUCACGGCUCACGAACCAGAUGCUGCAGAAAUGCGGAGCCGAGGAAGUCCUUGCUCAGAGCUCUUCUGUAAACAGAGGGUGGAGGAGACUGGAGGAGAAAGGACUCCUGGAAUGGCUUCAGAUGCUCCUGUUACUUUUCACUACCUCAGAAAUGAAGGAAGAGAGAAGAAAAUUGAUGAUGCUUCUAUGCAGAGUAAUUUAGGAAUAAAAUCACAAUUAUCACUGAAUGUAAGUGGUUUGAGCUCUUUACCAAAAUACUCAUCUGAGAGCUGCUAAUGAACUGAAACAGCAAAGGGAUCAGCUUGUUGGUAUGGGAAGGAAAGGUUACACACUGAUAAAUCUCCAGAGAGACUCCUGACAGGGAGAGGUCUCAGCUGGGCACAUGUCACAGAGGGCACGGGAGAAGAUGGGUCACCUCAUGUCCUUACAGUGACAAUGGGCACAGCAUCAGCAAACAUGAACAGAAGAGACCAAGGAAAUCAGGCACUUCCAAGUGAGAAGUGUUUUUAUGUGUAGACUUGAACACCUACCGUGUCUGCUCCAGAAUUAUGGCUAAGACCCCCUUUCUGAAGUCAGCCCAUGGAUGCCUGCUACAUCCUCAAAAUACUGACAUGACCGCUCUGCAGAAUGACAGAGAAAUUCCACAGAACAUUAAUUAUUUGCAUCCAUACUCUGGUAAUCACCACCAAAAAGCAAUUUGGAGAGCAUCAGCCAGCAUCAGAGUAUGCCAACAAAUGCUAUUGUGUUUUCUGAGCUGGCUCACUGAUUCAAACACUCUGGUCAAAUAUAAGUAGUUUAGGCUAUUAAUAGUAGCAUUAAGGAAAGACUUUCUUUUUCUACUUGUGAGCUGCCUGUCCUUUUGCACCCUGUCCUCCCUACCAUAAAUUAUGUUAUGUUGUAUGGUGGCUAAACGAAAUGUGAGGAACAGCAGAACAGGUCACAGCUUAGAUCAGGUAUUUCCAGAGUGGCUUGAGGACACUUUACCAUUAUUUACUUGCAACACACAAUGAACAGAGAUGGAGUUUAAAUGUGAGGCUUUUUCUACCCAGAAGAUAUCAAUCUUGUAUGUAUACACAAAGGAAAUAGCAACUGUGUUUCACACAAGCUGAGAAUUUGGUUCCCAGGACAAAACCAACCAACGUAUAAUGACAAACAUCUCUUCAGCUUCUUGGGGCUCUGCCUCCAAAAUAAUGGCACUAAAGUAAUAAAACACUCACAUGUUGCUGCCCACACUGAACACAAGAUUCGAUUGGCUGAAGCUGCCAGGCUCUGACACCAGUCAUGUCAUGGAAAUGGACAUGAACAGACAUGGAGAGACCACCUUGGAUGGGCUGAACAUCUCUUCCACCUCUUCUCCCUUUGCCAGGAUCUCAAGAAACCAUUUCUCAAUAGAAACCUGAGGCUCAUAUCAAAGCCUCCAUUUACACUGGAUUGCACAAAAUGCCUCCAAAACUGUCUCAGCUUUAGCUGAAGUUAACAUUAGUCUCAAAUCCUUGUUUUACUCUUUACUUUUUUUUUUCUUUUCUUUUUUUUUUUAAUAUAAAA